rnacentral:rRNA from 1 species
GAAUUUUGCACAAUGGGGGAAACCCUGAUGCAGCAACGCCGCGUGAGUGAUGAAGGCCCUAGGGUUGUAAAGCUCUUUCAGCAGGGAUGAUGAUGACGGUACCUGCAGAAGAAGCCCCGGCUAACUCCGUGCCAGCAGCCGCGGUAAUACGGAGGGGGCUAGCGUUGUUCGGAUUUACUGGGCGUAAAGCGCGCGUAGGCGGCUUGGAAAGUUGGGAGUGAAAGCCCGGGGCUCAACCCCGGAACUGCUCUCAAAACUUCCAAGCUAGAGAUCUGGAGAGGAGGGUGGAAUUCCAAGUGUAGAGGUGAAAUUCGUAGAUAUUUGGAAGAACACCAGUGGCGAAGGCGACUCUCUGGCCAGAUACUGACGCUGAGGUGCGAAAGCGUGGGGAGCAAACAGG